AUUGAACGCUGGCGGCCGGCCUAACACAUGCAAGUCGAACGAGUGGCGGACGGGUGAGUAAUGUCUGGGAAACUGCCCGAUGGAGGGGGAUAACUACUGGAAACGGUAGCUAAUACCGCAUACCAUCGGAUGUGCCCAGAUGGGAUUAGCUAGUAGGUGGGGUAACGGCUCACCUAGGCGACGAUCCCUAGCUGGUCUGAGAGGAUGACCAGCAAAACGGGAACUGAGACAGGGUCAGUACUCCUACGUGAGGGAGCAGUGGGGAAUAUGGCACAAUGGGCGCAAGCCUGAGGCAGCCAUGCCGCGUGUAUGAAGAAGGCCUUAGGGGUGUAAAGUACUUGCAGCGAGGAGGCGUUACUCGCAGAAGAAGCACCGGCUAACUCCGUGCCAGCAGCCGCGGUAAUUC
rnacentral:rRNA from 1 species